ACUCACUUCACCGGCCUCCAACUUGGCCUGAGCUGGGACUCAUGCUGUGGUCCUGGUCACCAGAGCCAAAAUAGGGGGAAAGUUGGCUUGGAAAAAGCAGGCAACCAAGGAUACAGACCGUUAGUCAAUAUUUGCAAGGCUGUUGGCAGAUUAGAUAUAUCUGUACUCAAACACUGUAAUCUGAUUUCUCUGUCAAAAGUACACUUAACAUUUUUGUCCCAUUACUUAAAUCUAGUGGAUUUUCUACUCAGCAUCAGGAAAAGAAAAUGCCAAGACAGAAAACCAUGCUCUUCCCGUAGGAAGAACCCAUGAUGAGCCCCGAUGAAAGAGGGGAGAAGACCCUUCGCUGUCUGCGAAGUCCUAAAGGUUAGAAAUACAGCAAUCUUUCUCAUGCCGAAGGAAAGGCAAAAGGAUCUAAGGAACUGCAAGGCAGUGAUACAAGUUUUCCUUAACAGCGGGACUGGGACUGUCGACAAUUUCUUAACUCACAGCCUCCUCAGUCGCCUCGGUCGACAAGGAAAGCAGCCCACGCAGCGGCCGCCGCGCCCGUGCCCGUGGCCUUUACUUGCUUUUGCCCUGAAGUUCAGUGUGGUGGUUUGGGGCUUGCAGGAAGAAAUAAGCACACCCCCUCUGACUCUCCACAACCCAUCUUUGCCUUCCGCAACCGCUUCUCCUGACCAUCGCUGGCUUUGGGGUAGGCUCUUUGUCUGCCUGACGCCCCGCAUUCGCAGGGCAAGAAGCUUAAAGGAAUCCAAUUCCAAACUGCUCUGAAGUUAAAUAUUGACCAGAAACUCUUUCAACAGGCCGCGGUUGCCAGGAACCGUGGAGGGCCAACUCCUCCCAACCGCCCUGGUGCAAAGUCCCACGGGGCAAAGAGUUUUGGAGCAGCGCUUACCUAGAAAGAUGUUUAAAUCUGAACCACAAAUUGUCUCCAACUCCAGGCGCUCAGGGAAUCGCCUUUUCCGGUGUCCAGGCGCUCUGCAGACAAAUAAACAGCAGAAGGUGAAUGGCGGCUGUGAGGGAAGGGAGUUGGAGGCCGGGAGUGGGAAGCGCGGCUCCUGUGGGCGCCAAGGUGGCCCUGGAGGUGACGCGAACACCAAGGAGUCGCCAGGGCACUCGUCCAUGCGGCGCACUCAUUGCUCGAAAUGUUCCAGUCUACAAAUGGCCCGAAGAUGGUGAUUUAUUUUUGUAAAAUAAAUACAUACUCCAUUUCCACACCCA